rnacentral:tRNA from 1 species
GGAGUUGUGACUCAGUGGUAGAGUGUCCACUUAGCAUGUGGGAGGCACUGGGUUUGAUUCUCAGCACCA